AGGAAACACAGCUGGAAAGUCGACUCGCGAAAACUGCUGGGUCCGUGUCGAAGAACUGAAAGGGCACUUUGAUUUCAACGCGCCGCGUGGUGGUGACGUUCGUCUGUACGGAAUUGACAGAUCGGAUGCAGACACAAAAGAACUUGGAAGAGUAUUCGAAGUCCCCCUAGGGAACACAGUCACGGAAUGACGACAACGGAGAGUGAUGUGCAUGUUCGUCACCCUCGCUAGGUCCGGAAGACAAAGAAGCGCCUCUUGUCGAUCUCUCUUUAGGGUCCGGAAGUGGAAAAGGAAGUGGAAGCGCGCUUUUUCCCCAAUGAAGAAGCCGUCCGUUCGUGGAGAGUGAGAUGCACUUCUUGCCGGGACAGUAGCCACACACCGGUGAUGCGACCUCAAUUCUGUUCCUGUCUAUCUUCUGUGUUCGAGCCUUCACAAUUCCUCGUGUGUCUGCCAGCGGGGAGCGAACUGGGAAUGCAGAACGGAAUCCACUGUUCGGCUGUCGUUUUUCUGUCUUGUAAACUCUGUGCGUGUUUGCCAGCUUUAUUGAGCGGGAG
rnacentral:lncRNA from 1 species